CAGUCGCCACGGUAAUACGAGGGGGGCAAGCGUUGUUCGGAUUUAUUGGGCGUAAAGGGUGCGUAGGCGGUUUGGCAAGUCUUAUGUGAAAUCUAUAGGCUCAACCCAUAGUCUGCAUGAGAAACUACCGGGCUUGAGUGAUGGAGAGGUGAGUGGAAUUUCCGGUGUAGCGGUGAAAUGCGUAGAUAUCGGAAGGAACACCUGUGGCGAAAGCGGCUCACUGGACCAUAACUGACGCUGAUGCACGAAAGCUAGGGGAGCAAACAGGAUUAGAUACCCGAGUAGUCCCUGUCUCUUAUAA
rnacentral:rRNA from 1 species